GACGAACGCUGGCGGCGUGCUUAACACAUGCAAGUCGAACGGAAAGGCCCCUUUGGGGGUACUCGAUUGGCGAACGGGUGAGUAACACGUGAGUAACCUGCCCUUCACUUCGGGAUAACUUCAGUAAACUGGGUCUAAUACCGGAUAGGAAUCCUUUCUUCAUGGUGGGGGUUGGAAAGCUUCGGCGGUUUUGGAUGGACUCGCGGCUUAUCAGCUUGUUGGUGGGGUAGUGGCUUACCAAGGCUUUGACGGGUAGCCGGCCUGAGAGGGCGACCGGCCACAUUGGGACUGGGAUACGGCCCAGACUCCCACGGGAGGCAGGAGUGGGGAAUAUUGCACAAUGGGCGGAAGCCUGAUGCAGCAACGCCGCGUGCGGGAUGAAGGCCUUCGGGUUGUAAAACGCUUUCAGCAGGGGAGAAGCUUGUGGUGACGGUACCUGCAGAAGAAGCACCGGCUAACUACGUG
rnacentral:rRNA from 1 species